UGCUUGCACUCAAUUGGAAAGAGGAGUGGCGGACGGGUGAGUAACACGUGGGUAACCUACCCAUCAGAGGGGGAUAACACUUGGAAACAGGUGCUAAUACCGCAUAACAGUUUAUGCCGCAUGGCAUAAGAGUGAAAGGCGCUUUCGGGUGUCGCUGAUGGAUGGACCCGCGGUGCAUUAGCUAGUUGGUGAGGUAACGGCUCACCAAGGCCACGAUGCAUAGCCGACCUGAGAGGGUGAUCGGCCACACUGGGACUGAGACACGGCCCAGACUCCUACGGGAGGCAGCAGUAGGGAAUCUUCGGCAAUGGACGAAAGUCUGACCGAGCAACGCCGCGUGAGUGAAGAAGGUUUUCGGAUCGUAAAACUCUGUUGUUAGAGAAGAACAAGGACGUUAGUAACUGAACGUCCCCUGACGGUAUCUAACCAGAAAGCCACGGCUAACUACGUGCCAGCAGCCGCGGUAAUACGUAGGUGGCAAGCGUUGUCCGGAUUUAUUGGGCGUAAAGCGAGCGCAGGCGGUUUCUUAAGUCUGAUGUGA
rnacentral:rRNA from 1 species